ensembl:lncRNA
GUGGAGCGGUGUUCAUGCAGGUUUCUGAAAAUGUAUCUUUGGUUUUGUUUCUUUUUUUGUUAGAACUCAACAGUUAAUUAUUUGAUAAAUCAUCAAGCUGCCCCGAGACAAACUCGUGACCUGGUCUGGGAGUCUCACCUUCCUCACCGUGUGAGACCUUGGAUGCCUCACAGAGACCCUGAGUUUCUAGAUUGGAUAAGCAGAAGAAUAAAUCAUCAAGAUACGCCUCAUCCCCCAAUGGGCUUCUGGAUCGGACUGAGAGACGUCCAUGAGGAAGGGACUUGGAAAUGGUGGGAUGGAACAUUACUUGCUGAAGGUGUUUGAAAACUUUAUCGUCACCGCCGGCGUGCUUUGUACCUCAGGCUCAUCAGAGACAAUCGUAUCCAGGUAAAAUAAUUGUCUUUAAUCUACACACUUUUAGGAAUUACUUAGCUAAUUUCAUGGAUAAUUUCAGUGACUGAAUUAUUGCCGGUCAUUCGUACAUUUACUUUAUUAUAUAAAAUAUAUAAAUUAAAUCUCUUUGAAACUUAUAGAAUCUAAUCUUUUGGUUUCUUUUUUUUUCAUAGCAUUUUAUCAAACUGUUGUCUGCUACAGAGUUAAAAGUAUUGUACUAGUAGUAAUAUAGCAUUCACCAUCUCCUGCUUGCAUAUUUCUGAAAACAUCUUAGUGGUGUGGCAGCCAUGGGUUGAGCCAGCCCUGCAAACCCUGUGGAUGGACGAUGCAGUGGACAGUGGGAGGAAGCAUCCUAAAGCUCUCUUUGCAGACCAGCCUGUGUGAUUCUCCACUCGCCGACCAGAAAAGACAAACGGCAGGUCUAAGUUGCAGCACCUCAUCCAUCCAUGUCUGAUCUUGCAUCGGCAGAUUCAGCAACACAGCCAGAGACUUCCUGUAAUCUAUUACAGUUGUUAAAAAAACGGUCCAGGAACAGGUCACUCAGGUUAAUCCUGUAUAAACAACUGUAAAUAUUGUUUUUCCUUCUUUAAAUAUUGUUGGCUUAUUAGAAAUAUUCUUGUUUAAUUGUUGUUCUCCAAAAAGUUGAUUCUGUUCAUCUGGACGUAGCGUUUUGUGGGAGAAACGUUUCGUCACUCAUCCAAGUGACUUCUUCGGUCUCAGCUGACUGCAGGUUCCCCCAAUCUCAUAAACAGUACAUUUGCAUAAUGACUGAAACUGGCCCACUGAAUUGUUGUUGUUAUUUACUUUAUUGCCAUAUUGGGGCGAUCGUGGCUCAAGAGUUGGGAGGUUGCCUUGUAAUCGGAAGGUUGCCGAUUCGAGCCCCGGCUUGAACAGUCUCGGUCGUUGUGUCCUUGGGCAAAACACUUCACCCGUUGCCUACUGGUGGUGGUCAGAGGGCCCGGUGCCACCAGUGUCGGCAGCCUCGUCUCUGUCAGUGCCCCCCAGGGUGGCUGUGACUACAAUGUAGCUUACCAUCACUAGUGUGUGAGUGGGUGGAUGACUGGAUGUGUAAAGCGCUAUACAAAUACAGGCCAUUUACCAUCAAAUAAAUAUCCAUGUAAAAUUGUUCAAAGUGACCAUUAUGUUCAUAGAUGUUAAAAAUACCUGAAAAUAAAAUGAGUUCAGUGACAGUUAGUGUUUGUUGUAAUCAAUUUAUUAAUAACAAAACACUUUUAAACUAAUGCAACACAUAUAACAAUGUCACAAAAUAUUCAAAUAAAUACAUUUCUUAAUGCAUAACUGAUUUUGGAACUGAUCUUUCAAGAAGUGAAAACAGUCUGUCCAUCCUCUCCCUGAUCAAAUCGAUCGAUUCGGGACCUUGUGAAUCUGAAUCGAAUCGAUUCUAGAAAUCCGUGACAAUACCAGCCCUACUCGUCUCCACCCAACGCGAGCUCAAUAAUGGCCACAGUGAGCAUGUGAGCAACUAUUUGCCUGCGCUACUGUGCAUGUAUGAAGUGGACCGACUUGUGAUCAGGCACACAUGAGGCCGACCGGCUGAGAAUACUGAAAUCAAAGGAAAUCAAACUCUUCUGUUUGGUGAAAUGUUAUACUUACCAAAUCAUGCUCCCUGGCCUCAUAUCCUUUGCAGGUGGAACUGGACCCAGUUGUGAAAACCAAUGAUUUCCGUUUCUGAUUUUGUCUGGCCAACAAAGAGUCCAGGCUGGUGAUGAUCAAUUUAAGAACAGAAACACACACUUCUUACCAAAGAAAUGAAUAUUAUUUUACAGUGUUGCUGAAUCACAUGGAUGAAUUUAACACCUGGACACAGUUAUAGCGUGAUGACUGGCAGGAGAAGAUCUCACCCUGUGUUUCUCUGCCUGUGGUAGAGGUGGAACCAGAUCAAGUGGAGCUGAUUCUUGAACAGCCUCAAGUCAGAGCUGGAUUGACCUUCUGUCACCAGGUACUGAUGAGCCCGCUGUGGAGAAACAUCACUGAUGACGUUCAUGAAUCCCCAGCUGACUCUGGUAACCUUAAUACAGCACAGAAAAAAUGUCACAAUAAUCAUUUUAUGUUGUGAUUAUUGUGAUAAUAACAGAAACAGAUGCAUCUAUGUCAUUAUCUUUGAGCUUUUACACUUAACAUAAUUAUAAAAACAUGAGUAUAAAAGGUGUUAAAACUCUGAUGCCAUCUUGGAAUACUGCACUUUGUUCAUGUCAUUACAACAUUUCUCUCUUUCUAAUCAUACAUCUAGAUGUUAUGUCAACACACAUUUAAUCUACAUUAUAAGAGUGCCUUUGUGAUAAAUGUGUCUUUCAUUCUUAAAUUAACUGGUUAAAUAUUUAAUCUAACUAAACCCUAAAGAUGGAGUCAGAAGACAACAGUCACCUGAAGGGCUGAAAAUUGUAAAGACCCUACAGAACAAUCAGUAAAUGUCAGUAAAUCUGUGAUUCUGUGAGUAACACACUGGGUUCAGUUUGGAGGUUGAGCUCUCACUCACCAGGCCGACAGCCGUCUGUGCCACAGUUAAACUCAUGCAGUGCUAAUUUAAAAACUCACAAAUAUUUUGGACAAUUUAUAUUUUUCUAUCACAAUAAAUACAAGUCUUCAUUGAAGUAAACACACAGAGCAGUAGUGGAUGUUUUUUUAAAAUAUUAUUUUUCUUUAUUUUGAUUAGCCAUCAACC